rnacentral:piRNA from 1 species
UAUAAGCUGUCACAUAACUCGACUGCUAUGC